GGAAACGUGUCAGAGUGGUCUAAUGAGCAUCUUUGCUAAAGAUGUGAGCCCCUUAAAGGCUCCGAGGGUUCGAAUCCCUCCGUUUCCG
rnacentral:tRNA from 1 species